GCUACGGGUGGCAGCAGUGGGGAAUAUUGCACAAUGGGGGAAACCCUGAUGCAGCGACGCCGCGUGAGUGAAGAAGGAUUUCGGUACGUAAAGCUCUAUCAGCAGGGAAGAAAAUGACGGUAACUGACCAAGAAGCCCCGGCUAACUACGUGCCAGCAGCCGCGGUAAUACGUAGGGGGCAAGCGUUAUCCGGAUUUACUGGGUGUAAAGGGAGCGUAGACGGCAGCGCAAGUCUGGAGUGAAAUGCCGGGGCCCAACCCAGGAACUGCUUUGGAAACUGUGCAGCUGGAGUGCAGGUGAGGUAAGCGGAAUUCCUAGUGUAGCGGUGAAAUGCGUAGAUAUUAGGAGGAACACCAGUGGCGAAGGCGGCUUACUGGACUGUAACUGACGUUGAGGCUCGAAAGCGUGGGGAGCAAACAGGAUUAGAUACCCGAGUAGUC
rnacentral:rRNA from 1 species